GACGAACGCUGGCGGCGUGCUUAACACAUGCAAGUCGAACGGAAAGGCCCUGCUUUUGUUGGGUGCUCGAGUGGCGAACGGGUGAGUAACACGUGAGUAACCUGCCCUUGACUUUGGGAUAACUCCAGGAAACUGGGGCUAAUACCGGAUAGGAGCUCCUGCUGCAUGGUGGGGGUUGGAAAGUUUCGGCGGUUGUGGAUGGACUCGCGGCUUAUCAGCUUGUUGGUGGGGUAGUGGCUUACCAAGGCUUUGACGGGUAGCCGGCCUGAGAGGGUGACCGGCCACAUUGGGACUGAGAUACGGCCCAGAAUGCUACGGGAGGCAGCAGUGGGGAGUAUUGCACAAUGGGCGGAAGCCUGAUGCAGCAGCGCCGCGUGCGGGAUGACGGCCUUCGGGUUGUGAACCGCUUUCGCCUGUGACGAAGCGUGAGUGACGGUAAUGGGUAAAGAAGCACCGGCUAACUACGUG
rnacentral:rRNA from 1 species